AGUUUACNCUCGUGUUGUGUUUGUUGGGUUAAGUCCCGCAACGAGCGCAACCCUUAUCCUUUGUUGCCAGCGGUUNGGCCGGGAACUCAAANGAGACUGCCAGUGAUAAACUGGAGGANGGUGGGGAUGACGUCAAGUCAUCAUGGCCCUUACGAGUAGGGCUACACACGUGCUACAAUGGCGCAUACAAAGAGAAGCGACCUCGCGAGAGCAAGCGGACCUCAUAAAGUGCGUCNUAGUCCGGAUUGGAGUCUGCAACUCGACUCCAUGAAGUCGGAAUCGCUAGUAAUCGNANAUCAGAAUGCUACGGUGAAUACNUUCCCGGGUCUU
rnacentral:rRNA from 1 species